rnacentral:rRNA from 1 species
AAAGAGGUCACACCCGUUCCCAUGCCGAACACGGCCGUUAAGCUCUUUUGCGCCGAUGGUAGUUGGAGGCUUCCUCCCGCGAGAGUAGGACGUUGCCGGGC